rnacentral:rRNA from 1 species
GACGAACGCUGGCGGCGUGCUUAACACAUGCAAGUCGAACGGAAAGGCCCUGCUUUUGUGGGGUGCUCGAUUGGCGAACGGGUGAGUAACACGUGAGUAACCUGCACUUGACUUUGGGAUAACUUCAGGAAACAGGGGCGAAUACAGGAUAGGAGCUCCUGCAGCAUGGGGGGGGUUGGAAAGUGACGGCGGUUUGGGAUGGACUCGCGGCUUAUCAGCUUGUUGGGGGGGUAGGGGCUUACCAAGGCUUUGACGGGUAGCCGGCCUUGGAGGGUGACCGGCCACCUUGGUCCUGCGAUACGCCCCAGACUCCUACGGGCGGCAGCGGUGGGAAAUAUUACGCAAUGGGCGGACGCCUGAUGCGGCAACGCCGCGUGCGUGAUGACGGCCUUCGGGUUGUAAACCGCUUUCGCCUUUACCGAAGCGUGAGUGACGGUAAUGGGUCAAAAAGCACCGGCUAACUACGUG